AGGGUUGGAUGAUCGCGGCGGCAACGUCGAGGAAAGUCCGGACUCCAGAAAGACACGGCGCCGGGUAACGCCCGGCCGGGGUAACCCGAGGGACAGCGCCACAGAGAACAGACCCCCCGGUUGCGGCCGGGGAAGGGUGAAACGGUGGGGUAAGAGCCCACCGCCGGGCUGGUAACAGACCGGGCAUGGCAAGCCCCGCCGGGAGCAAGGCCGAAUAGGAAUCGCGUGGGCCUUCGGGCCCGGGGCUGCUUUCGCCCCGACGAUUCGGGUUGGCUGCUUGAGGCCACGUGUAAACGUGUGCCCAGAGGAAUGAUCAUUCAGGGAAGGCCUCAGGCCCUCCUGGACAGAAUCCGGCUUAUAGACCCUCCG
rnacentral:RNase_P_RNA from 1 species